rnacentral:ncRNA from 1 species
UCUUAUCCAGAGAGGUGGAGGGACUGGCCCAAAGAUGCCUCAGCAGCAGACUAUUCUUUAGUACUGUGCUAAAUCCAGCAAGCGAGUGCUUGAAAGAUAAGA